CAAUAGCGUAUAUUAAAGUUGUUGCGGUUAAAAGCUCGUAGUUGGAUUUCUGUUGAGAACAGGCGGUCCACCUUUUGGGUGAGUAUCUGCAUUGGUCUCGGCAUCUUCUCGAAAGACAUUCCUGCGCUUGAUUGCGUGGGGUGGAUCUCGGGACUUUUACUUUGAGGAAAUUAGAGUGUUCACGGCAGGCAUACGCCUUGAAUAUAUUAGCAUGGAAUAAUGAUAUAGGAUCUUGGUUCUAUUUUGUUGGUUUCUAGAGCUAAGAUAAUGAUUAAUAGGGAUAGUUGGGGGCAUCCGUAUUUAACUGUCAGAGGUGAAAUUCUUGGAUUUGUUAAAGACGAACUACUGCGAAAGCAUUUGCCAGGGAUGUUUUCAUUGAUCAAGAACGAAAGUUAGGGGAUCGAAGACGAUCAGAUACCAU
rnacentral:rRNA from 1 species